AGUUUCAUGACCUAAGCACUGAAAGCUACAGUAAAUCGAUUCGCUAGAGAAAGUCGCAAGAUAUACACAGUAAAAGAUAAAAUACUCAUGGUACUCCCACAAGCGUUGCAUUGCAUCAGCUAUGCAUGAUGAGUUUUAAUCAAGAAACAGGAUCAGAUAUUAACAAUAAAAUGCAACAAAAGGUCUCAAACUAUCAGAAUGGUGAAUAGAUGAG
rnacentral:lncRNA from 1 species